GACCUCGAUUAUCGCUGCUGUGGAGCAGGAGCGACUUAUGCACGAGGUGGCGAAAAAUGUUUUAUUUGUGUAAAUAUUUGAAAAUUGAAAAGGCAAAAUAUGAGAAGAAUUUGAAAGCCAGUGAGCUUUUGGGCUAUUGAGUUAAUAAGCCCAUUAUUUUGAUUGGAAGAUGUGAAAUUACGACUUAUAUUUCAACUAAAUUUGUACAAGUUACCGAAGCCGAGAAUAACGAAGACACGAACGAAGAACGAACUUCCUGAAACGAAACAGAACUUUUGUUUAUAUCGAUAAAUGUAUAAGCCUGAACAAGUGAACAUUCAUCACCGCCGAGGCGACAUGAGUAACGUUUGGUAAGUGUGCGGACUGUUCCAGUGGCGGUGAUCUUGGCGCUGUGUUUAUGUGUUAUUUGUUCCGUCAUUGUGUCAAAAUCGUGUUGUUGUUUUUUCGCAGAAACCGUUUGCCAAGCCAAAAUUGAAUAUAUCUCUCAGGACGGGCUGUGCUGCACCACUAAAUGAUUUUGAUUCAUUUAACCAGCCGUCAUUUUAACUACACACUCUCACAAACCAUAAAACGCGCUUCAAUCACUCACGGCGGUGACGACAGUUUCAAACGCUCAAAGGUCUCUGUCAUACAUCCCUCUCAGUUAUCUGACUUAUUUCGCUGAAUUGUUAAUCCAAGAAGUUUCUUAGCUAAAAACAGUCAUGUCUGAGGCAUCAUCGAAGGGGAAACAAAGCCGUCAGUACGCGUUGGCAAAACUCACAAGACUCAGACGAAGGGCACAAGUCGCGGUCGAUGCUAAGGGGAGCCGGACUAGUCUGCUGAAAAUGAUGUCUGAGCUCGAUGAAGCUUUGGCGAAUUUGCAAGUAAAAAAUGAUGAAUAUAUCGAAACUCUCGAUGGUGCAGAUGAAAUAAAGAAGGCCCAAAGCUAUGUGGCAGAAGCAGAAUGUCAGUACCAUGAUACAAUGGAUCAGAUAGAGAAGGCAUUGGUGGAUAGGAAGGACGAACCGGAUGCAUCAGCCAAUGGCUCCGAGUGUUCUUCAGUCUCUCACAUAUCUGAAGCAAAGAAAACGGAAAUAAUAUUGAAAGUUAAAGAAAUGGAGCUGCAGCAGCUUAAAAAUCGACAUGAUAGAGAACGAAAAGAAGAAGAGUUGAGAAGAGUAAAUGAACUUGAAAAUGCGAGAGAUACACAAGCAACAGCGGAGUUAGAAGCAAAGUUAACACUCGCUGCCGAAAAUGAAUUGCAAUGGGAGAGGCGUGAUGAUUUUGUCGAUAGACCCUGUGUGGAUAUGGAAGGAAAUCCAAGCCGUCAAGUGACGGGAGAGCCCAACCCUGUUGAUUCAACAUCCUCCGCUCCUGCCGCCGCUGGAUUCCAGCGGGCCAUACAUACUGGACAUCACGCUGGUACCGAUGGCGGUCUGUUGAAGAAUCUCCCCAGGUUAGAGCUAACCAAGUUCAGUGGAGCUCCCGGGGAAUGGCCGCGCUGGUUUGCGCUUUUCCAAACUCUGGUUGGCAAUCAGUCUGCCCUGACUGACACAGAGAAGAUGGCGCAUCUCCAGGGCGCCGUCAUUGGUCCAGCUCAAAAAACAAUCUCCGGAAUGCUUUAUGACGGUCGACUUUACCGCGCCGCUAUAGCUGCGCUACAAGAUCGCUAUGGAAGAGAGGAAGACAUUGUGCAUUCGAAUUUAGCAGCUGUUUUUUCCUGUCCUUCGCCGAGAUAUUUAGAUCCCGAAUCAACCGAUCGGUUCCACGCGGCCGUUCAUUCUGCCGUCUCGGUCUUGGAAAAUCUGGGUUAUGAAAGUGACUUGCAUAGCUCAGAGAACUUGCAUAACGUGGCGAGAAAACUCCCCUCUGAACUGAAGAGAGAGUGGGGCCAAUAUGUGCUUGAUUUGGAGCCCUCCAGACCAACGUUGGUAAAUUUUGAUAUGUGGCUGCGUCGGCAAGUACGGGUAGCUAUAAAUUACGCGGCAGUGGCAACAGAAGAAAACCGACAGAGUCGAGCCAAAAAACAUGACGUGACUGCUGUUCCGCUUCGCAGAGCCGCCCUCAGCACUGAAGUGGAACAUUCCGGGGCCUGUAUAUACUGUGGAGAAAAACAUAACGUAGACACAUGCCCCUCAUUCUUAGAGAAGGACGCAAAUCGAAGGGCCGAAAUUGUCGCUUCUUCUGACGUCUGCUUCUAUUGCCUCAAACGGGGGCAUAGGGCGCGCUAUUGCAGAACAGCCAGGCCGUGCGGUCUAGAGGGAUGCAGGAUGCGUCAUCAUCGUUUGCUGCAUGGGAGCCAGAGGGUACGGCGACCUAUCCCAGAAGCAGAGGCCAGGCGGAUCGAGGACACGGCGGACAGCCCCGGUACUCGAGUUAUAGCUGCUGCGUCCAAGCCUGACCACGGCGCAGCCACCUUGCUUCAGGUCGUGCGUGUUCGCAUUCUGGGAAAUGAAGGGCGGUCCCGGGCCGUGAACGCACUUCUCGAUCCCGGAUCACAAACAUCACUUUGCUGUGAAGAAGUUCUUACUGAUCUUGGACUGACCGGAGAGAAACAAGGACUCCAACUCCAAACGGUGAGAGGUCGCGGCACGGAACAAAUUUCCCAUAGGGUGACAUUGAGUCUUGUCCCCGCCCACGAGCCAUGGUCAAAACCCAUAUUUGUCUCGGAGGCAUUUUCAGUUCCCGAUUUGUACGUUAAAACUCCGAGUCUUGAAAAGCGCAUGCAAAGCUGGAAACACAUUCGUGAUCUUGACAUAGCCGGUUACAAUGGACAAAAGGUUGAGCUUCUUCUUGGGGCUAAUGUUAUCGAGGCUGUACUUCAACUGGAGGCUAGGAUGGGCAAACCCGGGGAGCCUGUCGCCGUUAAGACGGCAUUUGGUUGGGCGCUCUCCGGCUCACUGCACAAUCUUGUCCCUGAGCAUGUACGGCAGAUUAUGUUGGUUCAAAAAACAGAGUCAGAAGAGGUGCCAGUCUAUGUCCAAGAAUGGUGGAGUACUGAAUGUUUUGGUACAAAAUACGUGGAUAAAACAUCAAUGUCUACCGAAGAUAGACGAGCCAUACAGAUUUUAGACGAGACUACGAUGAAAGUUGGGGACCGUUACGAGGUGGGCCUGUUGUGGAAAACAGACGAUGUUCAUUUGCCUAACAACUACCAUAUAGCUUACCAUCGCCUACUUUCAACUGAGAAGAACAUGAGCAAGAAUUCAGAAAAGGCGGCAGCAUACGAUGAGGCGCUCAUGGGAUACGUUAAGAAGGGUUAUGCGCGCAAGUUGACACAAGAGGAAGUUGAAGCUGCCAAGAUGAACCCCAAGACAUGGUUUCUCCCACAUCACGGGGUUUCAAAUCCUAACAAGAAAAAGUUGCGUGUAGUGUUUGAUGCAGCAGCAUCAUGUCAAGGAACGUCACUAAAUGACAAUCUUCUCACAGGGCCAGACUUGCUGCAAAACCUGGUGGGGAUCCUCAUCCGCUUCCGUGAGGAACGUGUAGCAAUUAUGGGGGAUAUCACCGAGAUGUUCCAUCAAGUGAAGAUGCGAGUCGAAGAUCAGCCCGCGCUGACGUUUCUGUGGAGAGGCGGGGACACGUCUAAGACGCCCGACCAUUACAGGAUGCUAGUGACCAUAUUUGGCGCUAGAUGUAGUCCAGUGGCAGCCAGCUACGUCCUUCAGAGAACCGCAGAUGACCACAGGGAUGACGCAGAAUCUGCUGUUAUCGUCUCAGCGAUACGUCAAAGCUUUUAUAUGGACGAUUUUUUGCAUUCGGCUACUAGAACAGUCGAGAAAGCCAAAAUGAUAAAAAAUGGAGUCACGGAAAUAGUUGGUCAGGGAGGAUUUGUACUGGCAAAGUGGGUAAGCAGUCACUCAGAGGUUCUUGAAGAUUCAGAAUACAACUCUGGUAUUCCCGCCGUUGAUUUAAUGCGUCAAAAGGGAGAUUUGGAACGGGCACUGGGAUGUGUUUGGAUACCGGAAAUGGACCUGAUCGGUGUCAAGAGCCGCUUUACAGAGGUACCAGAGACGAAACGAGGAGUGCUUCGACGAGUGGCAAUGAUUUUUGACCCGCUUGGUAUUGUUGCCCCAUUCACGCUACGCGCCAAAAUACUGGUACAGCGACUGUGGUCACUAAACUACGGCUGGGAUGACCAACUGCGGGCAACUGAGCGCCAUGAAUUUCUUGAAUGGGAAUCCGAGAUUCACUACCUUGAAAAUAUCCGCAUUCCUCGCUGUUAUAAAGCAAGGCUGACACAAGAACCAGAUGAAUACCAGCUUCAUGUGUUUUGUGACGCAUCAGAAGCGGCCUUUGGCGCUGUGGCGUACGUUAGAAUGACGAACGAGCGCCGUGGGGAAGGUGAGCAGACGGCUCUUUGUUCAUUCGUUAUGGCGAAAACACGACUAGCACCACUGAAACAGCUCACCAUAGCUCGACUGGAGUUGCAAGCGGCGGUGUUAGCCUGUAGACUGGCUGCAAGUAUCAAACAGUCAAUCACCUACCAUCUCUCCCGUACUCUGUACUGGACAGAUAGCAAGAUCGUACUGGCUUACGUCCAGCAUGAGAGCCGCCGCUUUCAUACGUUCACGGCGAACAGAGUUGCCGAAAUAUUGGACUUAUCCUCCUGCGAAGAUUGGAAGCACGUCCCGGGCCAUUUGAACCCAGCGGAUGCCUGUUCCCGCGGAGCCUCCGGCGCCACGUUGAAUGACCUAGAGUCAUGGUGGGAAGGUCCAGAAUUUCUGAAGAAAACUGAAGAAUUUUGGCCCUCUCAAGGAAUGGGUUCAUCAGAUCUGGACCACGCCGAUCCAGAGGUGAGAAGGACUCCGCAUAUUUUGAGCACUCAGGUCCAGACAUACCGGUCAGUACUGCCAGAUCCAGCACGAUUUUCGUCAUGGAACAAGUAUACUAGAAUCGUAGCAUGGAUCAAAAGAUACAUCGACAACCUGAAAGCCGCUGUGCAAAAACGUACGUUGGUUCUUACAGCACUGAAUGGUCCUGAAAUCGAGUCGGCAAAAAUGAUGAUUUUGAAAGACGCGCAGCAGCGAGCAUUUUCAACUGACAUCAAAAAGAUAGCAACAAGCGGUUCAGUGCAUCCCUCCAGCCCUCUGCUGAGCGUGUCACCUAUGCUGGAUGAACAGGGACUUUUGCGAGCCGGCGGCCGUCUCUCCCUCGCUCCUAUAUGUGAAGAUGCUAGACAUCCAGUCAUCCUAAGUAGAAAGGAUGAGGUGACGCGCAUGCUAAUACAAGACGCCCAUGAACGAGCAUUGCAUGCUGGAGUGGAGCACACGCUGAGUAUGAUCCGCAGCAAAUAUUGGAUACCGAGGGGUCGAGCGACCGUGAAACACGUGCUGUAUGCGUGCUCCUUCUGUCGGAAUAGGAGGGCGAAGCCGUCUCAGCCGAAGAUGGCAGAUCUGCCGCGACACCGUUUUGACACGACCCGCCCAUUUCACUGCGUCGGCUUAGAUUUCUUCGGUCCGCUGCAAGUGAAGAAAUUCCGGAAGACCGAGAAACGCUGGGUCCUUUUGGUAACAUGCUUGAGCACCCGAGCUGUUCACCUAGAAGUUGUGUGGUCACUAGACACUGACAGCUUCCUCAUGGGCAUGAGGAGAUUUUUUGGACGUCGAGGCAAGCCAUCAGUGGUCUAUUCGGACAACGGUACGAACAUAGUAGCCGGUGAAAAGGAGAUGAGAACUGCAAUCAAGGAGUGGAACCAGUCUCAAAUUUUGGACGAGCUCAGCCAAGAACAGAUCGAGUGGCACUUUAAUCCUCCCACGGCGAGCCACAUGGGAGGUAUAUGGGAACGCCUUGUAGCGUCUGUGAAGAGAGCCCUGCGAGUUGUGCUGGGUCGGCAAGUCGUGACAGACGAGGUUCUGUCGACAGCCCUGGUAGAAGUCGAGUAUGUCGUCAACAGUCGACCAAUAACAUACUGCAGCGGCGACGCAGAUGACCCCGAGCCACUGACUCCGAAUCAUUUCCUGUUGGGCUCGCCAGAACUGUAUCUGCCGCCAGGAUCAACUGAUGACUCAGCUCUACUGAGCAAGAGAAGGUGGAAACAUGCUCAAGUGAUCGCCAACCACUUCUGGACAAGAUGGAGGAAAGAAUACCUCCCGAAUCUGAUGCGACGUGAAAAAUGGGCACUUGGAACCGGAGAUAUUGAAGUCGGGGAUGUUGUCAUGAUGGUGGACGACCAAGCCCCACGGGGGUACUGGCCGCUAGCGACCGUGACCCGCACUACGCCAAGCGCUGAUGGCCACGUCCGCUCCUUGCAACUCAGAACUGGCAAUGGUUUGACUUACCAACGGCCAGCAAACAAAGUGUGCUUCCUCGAACGACCUCAGGAAGCAGCAAACCAACUAUAAGAAAGACAGAAGGAACGAAUGUGUGGUGAUCCUGAUGCCAAGGAAUAUGAUCCAAGAAUGGCACUGAACAUGCACAAAUAGACACACAAACACAAAGUAACAGCAAGUACAGCAGAUUAGUUUGCAGUCACCACAUCAUACACAUCAUUCACAUCAUUCAUAUCAUGUAACAUAUGCCAGCGCUAGUCUCGGCGAUAGACUUUCAGAUAGACACACCCUGAUGACCUAGUCCGCACAGCCCGUCCGCCAAGACAGCCGUCCGACUACUGCGCCGUUAUCUCUGCACCUGUGGACGUCAACGGGAGAACGUCAUCCUGGCUGGAUCAGCUCGACACCAUGGGGCCUUACGAGAAUGUCUGAGGCGCUUCCGUCAUGCAGGAAGGAUCGACAUCAGCUGGUGACCCAGGAGCAGCAGACGAGAGAGAGCGAGCGGUAUGGUGUGCUGGACUGGUGCAGAGACGGAACUUGAGCGGCCCACUUCACGGCCCCUUCACUGACGUUACGUGCUUUCUUGAAGGGGCCGCUGAUGACGCUGACGUAUAGUGUUCCCAAGAGGUGGGACACUGGCGGGGGGAGGGUGUCGCGACCUCGAUUAUCGCUGCUGUGGAGCAGGAGCGACUUAUGCACGAGGUGGCGAAAAAUGUUUUAUUUGUGUAAAUAUUUGAAAAUUGAAAAGGCAAAAUAUGAGAAGAAUUUGAAAGCCAGUGAGCUUUUGGGCUAUUGAGUUAAUAAGCCCAUUAUUUUGAUUGGAAGAUGUGAAAUUACGACUUAUAUUUCAACUAAAUUUGUACAAGUUACCGAAGCCGAGAAUAACGAAGACACGAACGAAGAACGAACUUCCUGAAACGAAACAGAACUUUUGUUUAUAUCGAUAAAUGUAUAAGCCUGAACAAGUGAACAUUCAUCACCGCCGAGGCGACAUGAGUAACGUUUGAAACCGUUUGCCAAGCCAAAAUUGAAUAUAUCUCUCAGGACGGGCUGUGCUGCACCACUAAAU